AAAUAAUACUAGCUAAGGCUAAAGAACAAAAAGGUGUCAGGAUAGAGUAAUCCUCCACACCAACACUUAUAGUUUGAACAGCAAUUAACAGCAGUAAACAGCAAUAAUUCACAGUAUGGGUCUGGGAGUGCGCCAGGGUAGGAGAAGCCUUUAUCCACCUUUUAAAGCGAUCCACAGCAAUUUCCUGACAAAACCGCAAUUAAAAUGGCCGCCGCGAGUGAAAAUAUACACACGCGGUGUCUGAGUGAUCACGCAUGCACGGACCGCACGAAACCGCGGACCAGACUGUGGACACUCACGGAAAACAGCUAAGUAGCCC